rnacentral:rRNA from 1 species
AUGCACGCUGGCGGCGUGCCUAAUACAUGCCAGUCGAGCGAACGGACGAGAAGCUUGCUUCUCUGAUGUUAGCGGCGGACGGGUGAGUAACACGUGGAUAACCUACCUAUAAGACUGGGAUAACUUCGGGAAACCGGAGCUAAUACCGGAUAAUAUUUUGAACCGCAUGGUUCAAAAGUGAAAGACGGUCUUGCUGUCACUUAUAGAUGGAUCCGCGCUGCAUUAGCUAGUUGGUAAGGUAACGGCUUACCAAGGCAACGAUGCAUAGCCGACCUGAGAGGGUGAUCGGCCACACUGGAACUGAGACACGGUCCAGACUCCUACGGGAGGCAGCAGUAGGGAAUCUUCCGCAAUGGGCGAAAGCCUGACGGAGCAACGCCGCGUGAGUGAUGAAGGUCUUCGGAUCGUAAAACUCUGUUAUUAGGGAAGAACAUAUGUGUAAGUAACUGUGUACAUCUUGACGGUACCUAAUCAGAAAGCCACGGCUAACUACGUG